rnacentral:tRNA from 1 species
GGCGACGUAGCCAAGUGGUAAGGCAGGGGUCUGCAAAAUCCCGACCACCGGUUCGAGUCCGGUCGUCGCCUCCA